UAAACGACUCUCGGCAACGGAUAUCUCGGCUCUCACAUCGAUGAAGAACGUAGCGAAAUGCGAUACUUGGUGUGAAUUGCAGAAUCCCGUGAACCAUCGAGUCUUUGAACGCAAGUUGCGCCCGAAGCCAUUAGGCCGAGGGCACGCCUGCCUGGGCGUCACAC
rnacentral:rRNA from 1 species